rnacentral:lncRNA from 1 species
GUUGAGCCCAAAUCUGCCAACAUGUGACUUCCAUCCUUUGAUCUCAUUUUCUGGGAGCAACACAAAAAAAAUGUGGCUUCCUUGAAAGUUCUUCAUGUAUUUAAAGAUCACUCUCAAGCCUGCAGUCAACCUGGAGUAGGCAGAUGAAGCAGCUGGGGAAAAGACCUCUUGACCUACCAACAAACAGUCACUGACACUGUCAAGUUCAGAGGUGGUGAGAGACACAGAUUGCAGGUAUCUUUGUAAGUUCCAAUUCGUCCCCCACACCAGGUUCAGCUUGUCUUUACUCUCCCCUGAGUCACUUCGAGUUUGGUUCUACUGAUCUACAGGAAGCUUCUUCCCACCACUGAAUUCAAGGGACAGUCUUCCCAUAUGUCUUUACCAGCUCUCGCAAAUGAAGACAGAGCCUGUCUAUGUCAUUCAGACUGGCCUCAAACUCCAGGGCUCAACAAAGC